GUGAAGUAAAUAGACAAUAGUAGUGCAUUGACUUGACAUAUAAACGAUACAAGGAUUAGGCCCGAAACGGGAAAAAAGCUCUGCUAUCAAGAAAAAAAAUAUUUUCAAUUGUUGUUAUUUUGUUAUUGUUAUUUAUUUUAUUUAAAUUUUGGGUAAAUACCCCUUUCAAAAGGCCUCAUAUCUGGCUGAGAAAUAUACAUCACAAUGAACAUGAUGAAAUGUACAUCACCAGUUGAAACCCAUCGAUGGUGAACGAAUGCGUUUAAUAUCAACAAUAAGCAU
rnacentral:lncRNA from 1 species